rnacentral:rRNA from 1 species
GUGAGGAAUAUUGGGCAAUGGGCGAAAGCCUGACCCAGCCAUGCCGCGUGAAGGAAGACGGCCUUAUGGGUUGUAAACUUCUUUACUACGCGAAUAGAGGUUAGUACGAGAUACUAAUAGGAAGGUAGUGUAGUAAAAAGCACCGGCUAACUCCGUGCCAGCAGCCGCGGUAAUACGGAGGGUGCAAGCGUUAUUCGGAAUUACUGGGUUUAAAGGGUGCGUAGGCGGUUAAAUAAGUUGUCAGUGAAAGGCUACGGCUCAACUGUAGUAGUGCUGGCGAUACUGUAUAACUAAGGACAUGGGAGGGGUACCUGGAAUGUGUGGUGUAGCGGUGAAAUGCGUAGAUAUCACACAGAACACCGGAGGCAAAGGCGGGGUACUAGACCAUAGUUGACGCUGAGGCACGAAAGCGUGGGGAUCAAACAGGAUUAGAUACCCGAGUAGUCC